UACGUAGGGUGCAAGCGUUGUCCGGAAUUACUGGGCGUAAAGCGUGCGUAGACGGUUACAUAAGUCGGGUGUGAAAGCCCCGGGCUCAACCUGGGAAUUGCAUUCGAGACUGCGUAGCUAGGGUGCGGAAGAGGGAAGCGGAAUUUCCGGUGUAGCGGUGAAAUGCGUAGAUAUCGGAAGGAACACCAGUGGCGAAAGCGGCUUCCUGGUCCAGCACCGACGUCAGGCACGAAAGCGUGGGAGCAAACAGG
rnacentral:rRNA from 1 species